rfam:Flavobacterium branchiophilum FL-15, complete genome.
AUUUUGCGAUAGGGAUAGCAACGGCAUCCUUUUUGUUUUUUCUUUAAAAACAAAAAGAUAGAGUGGAUAGCCCGGUCCACA